GUUAUUUGGCUGGAGUGAGGUCUCAUGUCUGCUUAUGCGGUGGCUCGCUGCUCAGAACAGGCCUAGCUAGAUGCCUGGAAUUUCCCUUGAAGGAAGUCAAGAUUUUCCUUUAUCUCCAUACUGGCUGAUGGUGAUCGAGUAAGCCCCUAAGAGGGGUCCCUGCUCCAUCUCGAGAUGCUGCUAGAUUCUACAGUGCCUAAUAAACAGCUCUCGCCUGGCCGACAAAGAGCUGCUUGCUCUCUGGAUAGCAAUUCCAAAGUGAACAGACAACAUCCUGUUUGGAAGACUGCCACUCUGUUAGAAGAAGCAUCAGGAAAACCUUUCUUUUGAGCUAUUUAUAACUAACAGCAAUUGACCAAGUAUACUUUUGAACCAUUGGAGAUACUCAUUACUCUUUGAAGGCUUACAGUGGAAUGAAUUCAAAUACGACUUAUUUGAGGAAUUGAAGUUGACUUUAUGGAGCUGAUAAGAAUCUUCUUGGAGAAAAAAAGACUGGGUAUAUUUUCAAUAUGCUUUCCUUUUAAGGUCCCUCACCUGUGGAAAGUAAAGAAUGUCACUUUCUGACAGGCUCAGGAACCUCAAGUUAUGUAGGGAUCUCAAG
rnacentral:lncRNA from 10 species